rnacentral:rRNA from 1 species
UUCCCUUACGAUCACAGAAGUUAAGCAACGACGAGCCUGUUCAGUACCAAGAUGGGUCAUCAAUUGGCAAUACCAGGUGCUGUAAG